UCCCUGAGUUGUGGAAAGCCGCCCAGCCUUCUGAGCUGGGGGCCCGCAGGGUUAGCUCUGGUUGCUCUGGGCACUUGUGGGAGAGCAGGGUCAGAGCGGAGGGCAGCAGUUGGGGGCUGAAUGAUGGUGCCCACUCCUGCACACCCCGCGGUGGGCGAGGCCGCCCCUGCCUCCCUCUCCAAGGAGCCGACCACGAAGUCCGAGAAGCAGAGAGGGGAGAUGGGGAGGGAAUGGCAGUGGGGCUGCAGGGCACGCUCGGGUCAGCACUAACCGCUGGUGUAAAGGGACGAGUGGCCACUUCUGGCGGAACAACAGGCGGCGGUGGAAGGCAGCGCUCAGGCCGUCAGCGGGCCUGCGGGGGACGCACUCACCGAGGACCAGCAGCACUUUCCAGCUAGGCGCCCGAUGCGCACGGCAGAGCUCAGGGUCCGGCAGCGCCUCAAAGGCCUGCACCCGGGGCUCUGGCCCCGCCCGAGUACACGUGCGCGUCAGGCCCCGCCCCCAGGCGCCCUGGCCCCGCCCCUCGCUCAACCACCGCGCUUCCCGUGGACCCUGAUGCGGUGAUCUCAGGAGACCCCCAGCUGCUGCGGUUCCUGGCUGAGUGAGGCCAGGCCCUCAGGCUCCAGCAUGGCCCUGCAAGACCACUGCUGCACCCCUGCGGCUGUGCAGAGGAGGCUGCCCAUCCUGGCCUGGCGGUUGGACUCUGAAGAUGGACUUCAUCACUGGACUUUCAGUGGGGCUCAAGGUCAUUCCCCACGCACUGGCCUGUGCUGAGGUGACCUGACUCCUGCCCCAGUGUGGCUUCUACUCUGCCUUCAUGGGUGCUUCGUGUAGUUCUUCCUGGUCACCUUCUGGCAUGUUACCCUGAGCCCGCCUGUGCUGUGCUACUGGCUUUCCUGUGGGGCUGCAUGCAGUUAGCCAUGGGGUCCCUGUGCUUGGGGUUCCUGCUGUACUUCGUCUCCUGUGCCAUCAUUAAAGGUUUCACCUCUGCUGCUACCAUCACCGUGGACUUCGGGCAGAUCCAGUUUGAUCCUGAAGGCAUCUGUCACUUCUGGAAUCCACUACAACGACGAGGAGGAGAGUCACUUCAAUGCCUAUGAAAUGGAACCUUCAGGAGUUUUUAGUUAUAAAUCUUGGAAUCUGGAAGAUUCAAUUCAUGAUUGCAAAAUAUUUAUUUCCUAAUAUUUUGUUUUGUCAUAAACUGAUGCUUUUGAAAGAGAUCUCAUUAAUUGGACUGUUUCACGUCUCUCUGGGGUGGAGCAGUAAUAAACG
rnacentral:lncRNA from 1 species